rnacentral:tRNA from 1 species
CGGAGUAUAGCGCAGAUGGUAGCGCGCGUCGUUCGGGACGACGAGGUCGUGAGUUCGAAUCUCACUACUCCGA